rnacentral:rRNA from 1 species
UACGGAGGGUGCAAGCGUUAUCCGGAUUCACUGGGUUUAAAGGGUGCGUAGGUGGGAAUGUAAGUCAGUGGUGAAAUCUCCGUGCUUAACACGGAAACUGCCAUUGAUACUAUGUUUCUUGAAUUAUCUGGAGGUCAGCGGAAUAUGUCAUGUAGCGGUGAAAUGCUUAGAUAUGACAUAGAACACCAAUUGCGAAGGCAGCUGGCUACAGGUGGAUUGACACUGAGGCACGGAAGCGUGGGGAUCAAACAGG